UUUGUUUAUAUUCUAUUUUUAAAUAUAAAGACAAGCUUUGUAUUGUGGAAUGUUGAUGUACUAGACGUUAUGGCUUGUAAUAUGGACUUGUAAAAUGCUUGCAUUUAUGACAUGUAAUACAUCUUGUGCAUCUUAGUGCCCCUUCACACAAAGGAAUUUUUAACUUACGCGAGUAAGCAAUUGUUCUUUCUGAACAUCUGCAACAGGAGUGACAACUCUGCUUUCAAGUUCUUCUGAGCAGCCCCUUUUUUGUAUGUCUGUCUUAAUUCAUACUGCAGGUAGAAUGAAACUUUAAAAUCCUUGUACUUUUGGUUACAUCCCUACUGCUGCUUAUGCUCUAUACACUGAAAGCAAUUCUGCCGGCUGGUUCAGUUGGGAACACUGCAACGCAUUUCAUUAGUAAAUGGUCAUUCAGCCCAGGGUUAAAAGUAUUGAAUGAGACUGAACAUCCUACUAGGUGUGUUCUCUUUAGGGGAUGACUCCAGCUGCAUCUACGGCAGUGAUGUAGUUUGUGCAGUUUGGGAGUAAAUCCCCCUCUCAUCCCCGCUUGGCACAUACUGGUUUGGCUGACAAAGCAGUUUUGGUGCUUUGAGUUCACUUCCUUUGGGAGAAAUCUGAACUAGGAACUGUGCUCUGGGUGUGCACCAAAUGCCCUCUAGCUCCUAAUGGUGAUGUGAGCCCAUAGCAGUGGUUUCCUUCAGGCAGCUUGAAACCACCUAUGCAUUGAGGAUGUCUGGAGGAUCAGACUCAACCUGGCCUUCAAAUUUCCAGACUGUAGGUAUAGAGGUUGAACAUCAACUAUUUGAUUUUAUGGAUCCACUCCUAUCAUACUGAAUUACUUGCUGACACAGACAUAGCUUCUGCUGCAUUUGUUUACUGGAAAGACUGAAAGUGUUCUUCCUCUGAUGCAACUGUAAACUAGGUUUAGAUUAAACAUAGUUUGUUC